UACGUAGGGUGCAAGCGUUAAUCGGAAUUACUGGGCGUAAAGCGUGCGCAGGCGGUUCUAUAAGACAGAUGUGAAAUCCCCGGGCUCAACCUGGGAACUGCAUUUGUGACUGUAGAGCUGGAGUACGGUAGAGGGGGAUGGAACUCCGCGUGUAGCAGUGAAAUGCGUAGAUAUGCGGAGGAACACCGAUGGCGAAGGCAAUCCCCUGGACCUGUACUGACGCUCAUGCACGAAAGCGUGGGGAGCAAACAGG
rnacentral:rRNA from 1 species